AGAGUUUGAUCCUGGCUCAGGAUGAACGCUGGCGGUAUGCCUAACACAUGCAAGUCGUACGAGAGUUUUUAACUCUAGUGGCGGACGGGUGAGUAACACGUGAGAAUUUGCCUUUAGGAGGGGGAUAACAAUUGGAAACGAAUGCUAAUACCCCAUAUGCUUUCGAGUGAAAUGAAUUUUUUAUUUGCCUAAAGAGAAGCUCGCGGCUGAUUAGCUUGUUGGUAAGGUAAGAGCUUACCAAGGCGACGAUCAGUAUCUGGUUUGAGAGGACGAUCAGACACACUGGAACUGAGACACGGUCCAGACUCCUACGGGAGGCAGCAGUGGGGAAUUUUCCGCAAUGGGCGAAAGCCUGACGGAGCAAUACCGCGUGAGGGAAGAAUGCCUAUGGGUUGUAAACCUCUUUUUUCAGGGAGGAAUAAAUGACGUGUACCUGAAGAAUAAGCAUCGGCUAACUCCGUGCCAGCAGCCGCGGUAAGACGGAGGAUGCAAGUGUUAUCCGGAAUCACUGGGCGUAAAGCGUCUGUAGGUGGUUUAAUAAGUCAACUGUUAAAUCUUGAGGCUCAACUUCAAAAUCGCAGCUGAAACUAUUAGACUAGAGUAUAGUAGAGGUAAAGGGAAUUUCCAGUGUAGCGGUGAAAUGCGUA
rnacentral:rRNA from 1 species